AUUAAGGCCAGAUUGAGUCAUUUAACAGCUUUGAGAGAACAAGGAAGUAGCCUCAAGUUAACAAAGGCAGAAACAGGUUCCUGAGGGUGGGGACCAUGUGGGAUCCCUUCCUGGCUGUCAGGUGUCCCCUCCAGUGCAGUGAAUUUUCUGUCAGCCCCAAGGACCAUAUG